AAUGUACGAAGCCAUUGAUUUUUUUCCAACGUUUGACCAUUCGUCUUAUUCAAAAACUUUAUGUAAUUAUCAUUUAUUUUAUUGUGACUUGAUUCGUCAUCAAAUGUUCUUUAAGUAUGACAUAAAUAUUUUUAUAUUUGCAUAAAAUUUUUGAAUAAAACGAAUGGUCAAACGUUGGUUGAAAAGUCAACGGUGUCAUACAUU
rfam:Oryza glaberrima chromosome 2 Oglab02_0005_7, whole genome shotgun sequence.